CACAGAUCUCUUCUGACGAGAGAUACGAGAACCUCACACAAAGUGUAAGGGGAAAAAAUGGUUUACCAGAAUGGAAUAUGUCUACAGACGAAGGGGCUUAUUCACUAAACACUGAGCUGUUGUGACUUGAAAAUCGACAUAUAAAACUUAGCUUAACAUAACAGAUCUGGAACAAAACAAUGACCCUGAGAUUUUUUAUAUUCAGCUCAGCUAUUG